UCAAGUUUGGCACCAGCUUAGAGCUAUCCGGAACCAUGGUGGAGCGGGAUGGGUGUAGGGAUUAUCCCCGGUGUAUAGGUGAGAAUUGUAGAACUUCAGGAAGUCCAUAUAUCCAGAAAUGGGUUCAAGCUGGACUACAGAAGAAUUCCUGGUGGUUAGAUAAAAGCCAGCAUUCUUGCUCCUGAAACAGGUUUUCCAUCCGCCAAGAGUGUCCACCCUCAGGUAUUUGUCCACAGACUUGUCUGUCUAGUGCGUCCUCACUGUGCUCUGUCUCUUGCUGCCUUCACUGUCCCACCUCUCCCCUCCCCAGCCAAGUCCCAGUCUUUCAUUUCUCCCUACUCUGAACAAUUCUGAUUCCUCUGAACAUUUUCUUUCUCUUACCUACAACAAAAACCUUUCCCUGCCAAGUGGUGGUGGUACAUACCUUUAAUCUAAGCACUCAGGAGGCUGAGGUAGGAGAAUUUCUGUGAGUUUAAGACCAGCCUGGUCUAUAGCGCUAGCUCUAAGAAAGCCAAGGCUACACAGAAAACCUUGUCUUGAAAACAAAACAAAACAAAACAAAACAAAGAACUCCCAAACCAAACCAAACCAAACAAGAAAACCUUUCCACUGAUGAAGCGGUCAUGUUGGCAGUUUCUUUACUGUACCCCUCACAUACAGUUCCCAGUACUCUGACUAUGUAACAGGUUAACUUAAAAUGUUGUUGGACUAAACAUUUUGCUCAUUCUUUAUCUCACAGCUUUUGUACACCAGAAAAAUUAAACAGCUCUGUUCUGUGCUAUUGGGUCUAGAGGUUAGGAACUUGAAUCACCUUAAAUAUCUUUCAUUCAUCUUCCUGUGAACAACCAUAUAAGGUAUACCCCAUGGGCCUCCUUAUGACUUGGAGACUAGAUUCUAAGGUGAGUGCUCCAAAUGAGAAAUCAACCUAGAUAGGGAGCAUGUGUACAUGCAUGUACACACACACACACACACACACACACACACACACACACACACACACACACACACACACACAGUCCUUGGGAGUAACUGUGCCACUUCUACCACAUUUUAUUGGUUGAGAUAGUUUUAAGUUUCAAGAAGAAGAAACAAACUUUGAUUCCCCAACCCACUCUUGAUUGGUGCAUCCAUCUUUAGAAGAUGUUAUUGGCCAUGAUUGGGCCUCUGAUGGUUAGAUAGCUCAGGUUAGGAUUUAUGCUACUCUGUUUCCUAAUACUCUGGCCACGAGCAAGGAAAUUCUGUGGCCUCUCCAUACUUCAGUUUCCAUACAGGACCGAUACAGAGAGUCCAUGGCUUACCUCCUAAAUGAUUCCUUUAGUGCUUGCUGAAUUAGGUCCCAGAGCAUCGCAUUCUUACUAUCUAAUGCAGCAGAAGGCAUGCUCUGUCCUGAGCCAGCCACUGCCAUUUGAUCUGUUCUCUACCAGGAAGGAAGAGUCUCUGACGUAAAGGCAAGGUAAGCUAUAUGUGAGUGGUGACUGAGUUUUGUGAAAAAAAAAUGUUCGUAUCAUUAUUUUUCCUAAGAAUCUAAACACUUCAGCCUAGUCCUGGUCCCUUAGAGAUCUGAGGAAACUGGGGAAUUCAGAGUAAGUAUAAUCGGCAGCAAGUGGGAGACCCAGAUUAGAGGUUAUGCUCCCUGCUAAGGCUAUGACAGCAGCAGUUUCCAGGAUAGAAGCUGUAGUGGAGAAUGAGAGGGAGGGAGGGAGGGAGCCAGUUUGGCUUUAGAUUUUUGUUUGAAGCAGCAUCUCAUUGCCCAGGCUGACUCAAACCUUCCAUGUAGCCAAGGAUGACCUGGAUCUCCUGAUCCCCCUACAUCUGUCUGCUGUGUUCCAGGAUUACAGGCCUGUCUGCUGUUGUGAGCUGCCUGGUUUAGGUGCUACAAUCCCAACCAGUGUCAUCUACGUGUUUGGGUCAUCUUUUCCACUCUUAAAACUGACUUUAAAGAUGAUGGCUCAGUGGGUAAAGGUAUCUGCUACAUGAGCCCGGAGACCCGAGUUUGGUCCCCAGAACCCACAAUGUUGUCCCUGAUCUCUACCACAUUCUCUGUAACACUUGCACACACCUCAUCUCACACACACACACACACACACACACACACACACACACACACACACACUAAUAAUUUUUAUAGAAAAAGUCCUAUCACUUCAGGAUUAGCAUAAGUAAUGGUGAGAAAUGAUCACGUGCACAGCAGUUGUCCCUCUCCUCCCACCAUGCCUUGGAGUGUCAACUACCAAUCCCGAGGGCAUCUCAGUGGGAAGGAAUCAGCUGAACCAAUCUCAGACACUUUUCUUUUCCUCAGAAGUGAGGGCAGUUGGCCAACUCCCCUAACUCUACAGAAUAACCAAGAUUGGGUCACUUGAAGAAUAGUGGAGAGGCCCUGCUUAUGCCCACACUGCCCUCAGAGACUGGAGACUUCUAAAACCUAAGGUCCCUUUCACUGUCACCUGUUGAAGUUAAGUGAAGAACCUUCAUCUCUCGGUGACUUGAGCAUGGCUUCUGCUAUUUCAAUUGAAACCUGCUGUAGCUCACAAGAAGACAGGGCUGGGGGAGGGUGGGUGAAGGAUUGCAGAGCCCAGCCCAGCACACUGCCCGUUCUCUGCCUCUAGCAGCACACCCGGACCUCCCCAGGGGGAGGAGGAAACACAAGGAGAAAACACCUGUGAAUUCCUUACACAGCUCCCCCCAUGGCUACAUUCCACCCUCUCCACUGCCAGAAAAGAUUCAUUUGUUCCAUCUCUGACCUCAGGGCACGGACAAAUGGAUGGAGGCCUGGUGUGACUUCUCUGCUCUUGGCUCUAUUCCACUCACCAAUUAAUCACCUUACCCUAGCCUGACAAGCCAAGCUCCUCGCUGCUGUUCAUCCUCUGGCUGUUCCGGUGAUUGCUCUAAAGGCUUCCCCAGAUGCAAGAACCCAUCAGUUUCAGCAGCCUUUUGGGAAUGUUCGGCGCCUUCACCACAUGGUAAAACCGAGAAUAUUUUGAGCGGAUGGUUCUGGACUGAUUUCAAAGCUCUUGUUGGUGCGGACAUGUGCGGCCUUCUCCAGCUGCCCAGGAUUAUGAACAGUGGGGGUUACAUCACCACGUGGUAAGAUGGAGGGGCAUGUAAGCAGGGCCCUCUUGCAGGCAUCUGAUGCACACAGAACACCGGGUCCUUUCCCUUCUCCCCUACCCGACAGCCCAUUCUUUGUGCUUUGAGACCGCUCUGCUCUGCAGAGAUAGGGUCUGAACAGCUCUUUGGAGGGAGAGAGGGCCCAAUCUCUUUCAUUUCCUUUAAGCCCACGCGAGCCGGGCUCAUUUCCCUGGUUCCUUCUAAAGAACAUGUGCUAAACACUUGCUUCCCUCACGUGGCCUCCUGCCUCCUUCCUGCACACUUUGGGAGGAACAGGGACCCAGCCUAAGUUGGGGCGGGGGCAGGGGGAGCAGUAAGCUUCAGCCUGAGGGCCAAAUCCCACCACUGCCUAUUUUUGUAAAACAAAUUUCCUUGGAACGCAGCCACUGUGUGCUUACUGGCUAUGGCUGCCUCUGAGCAACCAAGGCAGAGGUAAAUCAUUGCAAAAGAGACUGUCCACCCUACAGAGCUGAAGCUAUUUCCUUGUCUGUUCCUUCUGGAGAAAAGCUUUCCAAACCGUGGCUCACAUGAAGGAAAUGUGGGUCAGAGAUGCUCUGAGAAGAAGAGCAGACCCAAAGUUUCGAAGGUGGACUCCUGAUUUCCUGAGACCAGAAAAGCAGGGGAAACAGCCCUCAAUGACUGAGCAUGUCCACCUGCUCCUGGACUUGUGAUGGGGCCACUUCUGAUAAAGUUAUGAUAACUCAACAAUGGAAGGAAAAUUUUGUUUACCGUAUCGAUCCUAUUGGAGAAAGUCACCCAGCAGUGCCACCCACGGUAGAGGGCCAGCUACUGCAGCUGUCCCUGUCAGAAGGGCAUCAUUUCUUAGCUAGCUCAGGAAAAGGUCCAAGUUCAACAUUGAAGGUAUUUUUUCGUACUGAGUAUCUCUUGUUUUUACGUCAGCAGAAAGUUAGAAAUCAUAGGUUGGACCAUCACGAGCCACUUUCUUGUGGGAAAACAUUGUGCCUAGCAUUCCCUCAACCCCGAGGGUGCGCGAGGUGCUGUUGUGGCUCCAGGACACAGCUGAAAGCUUGUGUUUCAGAGAUGACAUACCACCUGCCCUCUGUAUCGUGAGGGGCUGCUGCGAGACAGGACUCUGGUGGUUCUUGUCAUUGUCACAUUGACUGGCUGUAGAAUCAUCAGGGAAGAAUGCCUCGGGGAGUAUCUGUGAGAGUGUUGCCAGAGGUCUAAGCCAAAAUAGGAUGCCCCACUGUGACAUGGGUGGCACCGUCCCAUGGGCUGGGGGCCUUCUCCUGAAGGAGAAGAGGAGCCGGGCAUAGCAUUUGUCCUGACCAUGGACGCCAUGGGGCCAUCCACCUUGUGCUCCCAUCACUGUGACUUCCCCAUCAUGGUGGAGUGUGAGCUAAAAUAAGCUCUUCCUCUCAUAGGUUUUGUCACAGCAAGAAUUAAUAGUGUUCAAAAUCCUAGUGUUGGCAGGCAGCAGCAGCCUUCCAUGGGCUCAUAUCGCUGCAUUUGACAUGCUCUGGGUGCACUGUGUGCAUUGUGUGUGUGUGUGUGUGUGUGUGUGUGUGUGUGUUAUUGUAUAUGUGUACAUGCAUGUCUGAAUGUAUGAGUAUCAGUAUGUAUGCAUGCAUGUGUGAAUGUAUCUGUGUGAAAGUAUUUCUGUGUGUGUUACUGUAUAUGUCUAUAUGAGUAUGAGCAUGAGUGUGUACAUGUAUGUGUGAAUGUGAAUUUUUGAGUGUCAUUGUGUAUAUGAGUGUGCAUGUGUUUGAGUGUAUGUGUGAUUAUGUACAUAUAUGAGUAUGUACGUCUUUGUGUGUAUGAGUGUUUAUAUUGUCUACAUGCUAGUGUGUCUAUGAAUUGUGUCUGUGUAUAUGAGUAUGUGUGUUAAUGUUGCACGUAUUUGUGAAAGUGUGUAUGUAUGUAAGUUCAAUUGUAUGCCUUAGAGGAUACAUGUGCAUACAUGCACACAUGUGUGCAGGUGUGUGUGUGUGUGUGUGUGUGUGUGUGUGUGUGAGUACGGUGGAAGCCUAGCUGUUGCUUCACUCAGUUUUAUUAUUGAAUUUUAAGAGAUGGAAACCCCAGAACUAUCAGUCAUUUUUUUUUGGGCAACCUCAAAAUUUGGUAAGGGAUGAGGCUGAAGCCUCCAAACGUCCACCUUGAAACCAGCAUACUAACUAACACUCUCUAACUGUCCUGCAUGUCCUUCUGACCAGCUAUCUUAGGCCACUUCACAAGCAUUUACUAUUUGCUAUGACACUGCUCCCUGGGGUGGGGGCUAUAAUAGAGUGUGGUUCCUUCAAGGUUUGAAGACUCCCAUCAUUUAAAAGGUACAAUUUUCUCCCUGUCUGGUGAGAAUUUUACUGUAUUUGAGGAGAAAAGUUGUGAACUGGCUUUUCUCUCUUUUUACGCUGUCAUUUAACUAAAUUACUAUUACAGGUAUAGCCUAAGUCCAGAUGACUAUGAUUGUUCUCACAGUGGAAGAAAGGAAGGAAGGAAGGAAGGGAGGAAGGAAGGAAGGAAGGAAGGAAAGAAGGAAGGAAG